rnacentral:rRNA from 1 species
UACGUAGGUGGCAAGCGUUACUCGGAAUCACUAGGCGUAAAGCGCAGGUAGGAGGUUUGGUAAGUCUGUUGUGAAAGCUCCCGGCUUAACUGGGAGAGGUCAACGGAAACUACUAGGCUAGAGUGCGGUAGAGGUAGCUGGAAUUCCCGGUGUAGCGGUGAAAUGCGUAGAUAUCGGGAGGAAUACCUAUGGCGAAGGCGGGUCUCUGGACAGUUCCUGACGCUGAGGCACGAAGGUCAGGGGAGCAAACGGG